GAAACGUCUUGGAGGCGAAACAUCCGAGGACCUUAAACGUCCAUGGGAAAUGAAAUUUGUGAUGUUAUGAUAAUUAAUUUGUUAAAUAGGUUCAUUGAGGUUUUGUCAAAAUGGCUUGGGUCAACACACACGAUGCCUCUGUCUUUGUCUGUGGUUUGAAGACUUUUCUGGAAGAAAACCACACGGGACACCUACUGGGGGACUCGGCUAUCAACAAUAGGUACAACAAUGCCCAGUCAAGUGUAUUGUGGUUGAGAGGGCUUUUGGACUGCCAAAGAGUAGAUUUAGGUGUCUACAUAAAACUGGCGGUUGUUUAUUCGUGAGACUCGAUGAGUGCUGUCAAGCAGUGGCUGCAUGAAUGCGCCUGCACAACUUAUGCAUAGAUUAGCAGGUGCCACUGCCUGAACAACUUACUGAGGCACAGGAAGUGGAUGAGGUUGUGCACAGUCCACAACAAGACCAAAAUGCAGCUUAUAUGGACAACACAUCAUUAACUUACUUAUGUAGUUGCUGUUUUAUGCUAACAUGUGCACGAAGUGCUAUAGGUGAGUCAUUGUGGUCUGUCUAUGUUCGGCGACAUGUGUUUAUAUUCAAUAUUUGACUCUUUGUUGAUGAAAGAUGGUCAUAAUGUUUCUGCUAAUGAUACAUAAUAACUUAAUAAGUUAAUGAUUUCUUGUCUAUGAACUGCUGCACUUCGGUCAAGUGUGGUCAACAUCUUUGAAAAAGUGUGGAUAUUGACAAUUUCUACCGUUCUUGUGGAUGUUUUUCAUUAAGGACACACUUUUUACAAUAUUCAUUUAUGCAAUGCGUACCAUGAUUCAUGUUUCGUUUAUAUAAUAACAAAGUGAAAAUAAACUCUACUCCUUUAUUUCAUUAUCUUUGUAACAUAACAAUACAGGGUUUUCUCCAACAACUCUACAGCUAGGGAACAAUGAAGUGGAACACUAUCUGAAAAUGAAAUACAUUUUAUGUUAAUAAAAUUUGUAUUUGUAAGACAAGUGAUGAAAUAAAGGUUAACAUUGUAACAUAAAGAGAUGUGGUUUGCUCUUUAAAGAGCAUGUACUGUGUAUACUGCACAUCAGACGAGGUUCUGUUGGAACUAAUAGUUUCAUAUAAAAAAUUCUUGAGAAUGAAUUGUAUCAUUUAUGAUAAGAUGGAUUGUUGAUUCAUUAUUACACAUUCAUGAACGUACACUUCAUAAGUUAAUCUUUAAUUUUCAUGGAACUCACAUCUUUUUUUUCUUACUGGCUCAUCUGACUGGGCCUCACAUGCGCUGUUUCGCGGAUUUCCUAUAAUGAUUAUAUAUGAAUGAAUAUGUCUCGUAAAAUAACAUAAGUAAUCCAAUAUGUUAAUUUAGCUUAUGUAUGCUCGUUAAUUUAUUUUCUACAAGUCCAUGUAAAAAAAACUAACUUUUUUGUAAUUACUAAAAAAAAAAAAGAUUCAAUUGAUUUUUUACAAUUGGUAUUGUGGAAUGUGAUUAACCUUUUUUAUGCUCCACCAAAAUUUAUUUUGAGGGGAGCUUAUAGUCGCCGUUUCGUCUGUCUGUCCGUCUGUCCGUCCGAGCACAAUUUUUGUCCGGGCUAUUUCUCAGAAACUAAUGACCAGAAUUCAAUGAAACUUUAUGGGAAGCUUCACUACCAAGAGGAGAUGUGCAUAUUAUCAGUGGGUU